rnacentral:lncRNA from 1 species
GUCCACUGAGAUCUCGCCACAUGCCACCAAUAAUCUUGCCAAUCUCCCACAACUUUAGGUCAGGAUUGGAAGCCUUUACUUGGCCCCAGACGUUUCUGCUGUACCUCAUGUAGGGCAUCAGCGGCUUAUCUGGUGGCUCUGGAGGCUUUGGAACAGUAAUGCUAGAGGACGCCGUGACCCCGCUGUUGGUGCCCGGGUUCCCUCCCAGCCUGUAGUUGUUGUAGGGGAGAUGACUGUAUAGAUUGUAUCCCACAAAUCCUGGUGUGCUGGGCAUUUGUGUUGCAAGAGCUGGGGUGGGAAGUUGGGCAUUAGAUGGUCUUUCCAUGGGCCAAGAAGGCACCUGCAGCUCUGACUUUACCCAGUAUUUUAUUUCUUAAAACAUAAUGAAGCUUCAAAGAAUGAAAUUGCUUCGUUUAACAUUUAUCUACAUACUGUUAUGUGUAUCUUAUAGACAUUUACUAGUUUAAUCCCCAGUAAUCUAUGAUGUAGGUUUAUAAUUGUGAAAUUUCAGGUGAUUAAUAGGGAAAAGUUUUAAAAGCAUGUGUUAUACUUUUUCUUUGAAAGCAUAUCACAAAACAAAAAUGUCAUGUGGCCAACUCUACCCAUUCUGUGAUGGAAAUCAUGAGCCCAGGCCAAUCCAGCCCAUACCUUCCAUUCAGUCUGAUUCUGCAGGAGGCGGUUGUGACAGUCAAUGCCAAGUUUCAAUUAGAACCUCAC